rnacentral:siRNA from 1 species
CCAGCAGCCGCGGUAAUUCCA